rnacentral:rRNA from 1 species
UACGGAGGGUCCGAGCGUUAUCCGGAAUCAUUGGGUUUAAAGGGUCCGUAGGCGGUUUAAUAAGUCAGUGGUGAAAUCUGGUCGCUCAACGAUCAAACGGCCAUUGAUACUGUUAGACUUGAAUUAUUGUGAAGUAACUAGAAUAUGUAGUGUAGCGGUGAAAUGCUUAGAUAUUACAUGGAAUACCAAUUGCGAAGGCAGGUUACUAACAAUAUAUUGACGCUGAUGGACGAAAGCGUGGGGAGCGAACAGG